rnacentral:rRNA from 1 species
GAUAGUUUGAUCCUGGCUCAGGACGAACGCUGGCGGCGUGCUUAACACAUGCAAGUCGAACGGAAAGGUCCUUUCGGGGUACUCGAGUGGCGAACGGGUGAGUAACACGUGGGUGACCUGCCCUGCACUUUGGGAUAAGCCUGGGAAACUGGGUCUAAUACCGAAUAGGACCACGCGCUUCAUGGUGUGUGGUGGAAAGCUUUUGCGGUGUGGGAUGGGCCCGCGGCCUAUCAGCUUGUUGGUGGGGUAAUGGCCUACCAAGGCGACGACGGGUAGCCGGCCUGAGAGGGUGACCGGCCACACUGGGACUGAGAUACGGCCCAGACUCCUACGGGAGGCAGCAGUGGGGAAUAUUGCACAAUGGGCGCAAGCCUGAUGCAGCGACGCCGCGUGAGGGAUGACGGCCUUCGGGUUGUAAACCUCUUUCAAUAGGGACGAAGCGCAAGUGACGGUACCUAUAGAAGAAGCACCGGCCAACUACGUGCCAGCAGCCGCGGUAAUACGUAGGGUGCGAGCGUUGUCCGGAAUUACUGGGCGUAAAGAGCUCGUAGGUGGUUUGUCGCGUUGUUCGUGAAAACUCACAGCUUAACUGUGGGCGUGCGGGCGAUACGGGCAGACUAGAGUACUGCAGGGGAGACUGGAAUUCCUGGUGUAGCGGUGGAAUGCGCAGAUAUCAGGAGGAACACCGGUGGCGAAGGCGGGUCUCUGGGCAGUAACUGACGCUGAGGAGCGAAAGCGUGGGGAGCGAACAGGAUUAGAUACCCUGGUAGUCCACGCCGUAAACGGUGGGUACUAGGUGUGGGUUCCUUCCUUGGGAUCCGUGCCGUAGCUAACGCAUUAAGUACCCGC